UCCCUGGUGGUCCAGUGGCUAAGACUCUGCACUCCCAAUGCAGGGGGCCCGGGUUCAAUCCCUGGUCAGGGAA
rnacentral:tRNA from 1 species